UGUCAAGCUCAAAAGGCUCCUUCU
rnacentral:rRNA from 1 species